rnacentral:misc_RNA from 1 species
CCAAGUAAUGCUGUUUUCUUUUGCCUUUUCCCGGGGAGCGAACGAGCACGAAAGAAGCACCAUUGAAUUCCCAAAACUCGCAUUCUCAAGCUCGGUCGAAUUCCCUAAACUCCAAAGUUCAGUUAAUUUCUUGACCAAAUGGCUUUUCGCACUUGCCACAGUCUAGGCCGCCCAUUAAUUGUUCCCAUCAGUUUGACUAAAACUCCCUCUCGAAACUGCAAUUUCUCUGUUCAGAAUUGCAGUUUAGGCCCUAAUCAGUCUCAUAAG